CCUCCACAGACACAGCUGCAACAAAAAGAAUUUGAACGUAUGGACUGAUGUGAUGCAGACAAGCAGUGCUAGCCUAGGCGGAGGAUGAUUUUUUUUUUAUAUACCUGACCGGCGAUCAAGAUUCAGGACUGGCAGCUGCGCAUGCACCUGCCCGUUCAAUGGCACCUCCAUCUCAUCUUCUGGUCUCUGCCUCAACAACUGUUCUUCAAUUACUACUGCAUUCUAGGGGAAGACUCUUGCGCUCUCUUAAGCUUGGUUCAGUACAUGACUAAUUGUGCCUCAGCUGUCGCCGGCAUUGUGAAUUUUUUAAUCUACAAAAACAUGGUGCUGUUGCAUCGUUCCACACCCAACCAGCAUUUGCAAUUUUGUAUUAUCCAGGUCAUCAUAAUAGUGGGGAUAAUGAAGCACCUGAAUAGCUCCCUGCCUUCUGAGAUCAACAAGGACAGCAACCCAAGCAAAAAAAAAAAAAAAGACGAAGCAAAUUUUACAGCAACGAUGCGCUGCAAUUAGACAAGCUUGCACGCUUGUCUCGCAACCCC
rnacentral:lncRNA from 1 species